rnacentral:tRNA from 1 species
GUACCCAUGGUAUAGUGGUUAUCAUAUCCGCCUAACACGCGGAAUGUCCCAGGUUUGAAACCUGGUGGGUAGA